CUUUCUUCUACAUGGUGUGGGCUUAUAUAGAGAUAUAGAAGUGGAGAUUAGGGUGCUGAAGUCUAAUCAAGAUCUAGCAUAGUAGCAACUUUGAUUCUCUGAAGAUCUAAGAGAUUGGAGAGAAUCGUCUAGCUGGUGAUCACACCAAUCUGUGAGCCGUCCCACGGUGGCUUCUGACAGGGAUAGUUGAUUCUUCUGCAAGUUGAAUACUUGAUGUUUAUGUGGGAAGUCGAGAAGUUCUGGUCCCUUUAUUUUGUUAGAAGAUGGUUUUGCAUGGUAUCCUUGGGCACUGUGGUUUCAUCGUGCUGAUCAAACUACCAAUGCGGUGAUUGCCUGUUCUUCCAUAUGCCUGUAGAUCUUCAAGUCAAAAUUGGCCAGUCACUUGUAGAUCACGAGGGGUUCUCAUGCUUACAUGUUUUUAGAUGCAAGCUCCAGUUAACGCCUGGGGACAGAGCUAGAAUUUCCUUACAUGCUCAGAACAGCAAUUCCUCGAAAUAAGUCUGAAGGUUUCACUCUUUCGGAAGUGUGAAUAAAAGUUUUCUGAGAAGCGCAAUCAAAUUGUUUCUGUAUUGUUACAACAAAAUAAUUCCUCAUAGGAUUUGGAACCUGUUUGUAAAGGGAAUCUUAAAGCAGCACCUAUUGGUACAGAUAUACCACUGAACUUAUGUUAAGCGGCUGUGUUAUGAAUCUCCGAAUGAGUGAUCAGAGACUCAGAGUGAUUCUGCAAUUCCUUCCAUCCAGUUUUACUCUGACAGCUACAUACAUCUCUCUGCACCCUGUCUACAGAUCAAGCAUUCAUUCAUACUGUUCACUGUAACUUGCCAGUAUUUUUUGUGCACAUGGUGUGACUACUAGCUCGUACAGGUCUUGGUUGACUUACGUACAACCAAUGGAUUAUUGGAUUCCCAGUAUUUUUUACUGCGUGUUUUUGCAGAAGACUGAAGCCUGUAGACUUGUACUUCACCUCACAUGGGCCGU